rnacentral:rRNA from 1 species
AAACUUAAAGGAAUUGACGGAAAGGCACCACCAGGCGUGGAGCUUGCGGCUCGAUUUGACUCAACACGGGAAAUCUCACCAGGCCCGGACACUGGAAGGAUUGACAGAUUGAUAGCUCUUUCUUGAUUCGGUGGGUGGUGGUGCAUGGCCGUUCUUAGUUGGUGGAGUGAUCUGUCUGGUUAAUUCCGAUAACGAACGAGACUCUGUCCUGCUAAAUAGUGUCCGCUUCUCUUUUGAGCGGACAAUUCUUCUUAGAGGGACUGGCGACUCUUAGUCGCACGAGAUUGAGCAAUAACAGGUCUGUGAUGCCCUUAG